rnacentral:rRNA from 1 species
AGAUUGAACGCUGGCGGCAGGCCUAACACAUGCAAGUCGAGCGGUAGAGAGGUGCUUGCACCUCUUGAGAGCGGCGGACGGGUGAGUAAUGCCUAGGAAUCUGCCUAGUGGAGGGGGAUAACGUUCGGAAACGGACGCUAAUACCGCAUACGUCCUACGGGAGAAAGCGGGGGACCUUCGGGCCUCGCGCCAUUAGAUGAGCCUAGGUCGGAUUAGGCUAGUUGGUGAGGUAAUGGCUCACCGAAGGCGACGAUCCGUAACUGGUCUGAGAGGAUGAUCAGUCACACUGGAACUGAGACA